GAAAAAGAUAUUAAGGGCCAUAGGUGGAUGCCUUGGCUGGUAGAGGCGAUGAAGGACGUACUAGGCUGCGAUAAGCCUCGGGGAGCUGCCAAGAAGCUUUGAUCCGGGGAUUUCCGAAUGGGGCAACCCACUGUAUCGAGAGGUACAGUACCCUACGGGGGGCGAACUCAGGGAAGUGAAACAUCUCAGUACCUGAAGGAAAAUAAAUCAAACGAGAUUCCCAAAGUAGCGGCGAGCGAAAUGGGAUAUAGGACAAACCGAUGGCUUGCCAUCGGGGUUGCGGACUGCAUACGGCAUUGCGAGUCGAUAGAAGAAUGAGUUGGAAAGCUCGACCAUAGAGGGUGAUAGUCCCGUACUUGAAAUUGACAGACAGCUAGCAGGAUCCAGAGUAGGUCGGGACACGUGUUAUCUUGACUGAAGCCGGGGGGACCACCCUCCAAUCCUAAAUACUACUACCAGACCGAUAGCGAACUAGUACCGUAAGGGAAAGGUGAAAAGAACUGCGGUGAGCAGAGUGAAAUAGAACCUGAAACCUAUGGCUUACAAUCAUUCGGAGCACUAUUCUUUAUGAAGUGUGACGGACUGCCUUUUGCAUAAUGAGCCUGCGAGUUGUGGUGUCUGGCAAGGUUAACCUAACGGGAAGCCGUAGCGAAAGCGAGUCUUAAUAGGGCGAAUUAGUCAGAUGCUGCAGACCCGAAACUAAGUGAUCUAUCCAUGAGCAGGUUGAAGCUGGUGUAAGAGCCAGUGGAGGACCGAACCGGUGGAUGUUGAAAAAUCCUCGGAUGACUUGUGGAUAGGGGUGAAAGGCCAAUCAAACUUAGUGAUAGCUGGUUCUCUCCGAAAUAUAUUUAGGUAUAGCCUCGAGUCGUAACAUGAAGGGGUAGAGCACUGACAGGGCUAGGGCUGCUUACCGCGGUACCAAACCCUUUCAAACUCCGAAUACUUCAUGCGUAAUCUCGGGAGUCAGGCGGUGGGUGAUAAAAUCAAUCGUCAAGAGGGGAACAACCCAGACUAACAGCUAAGGUCCCAAAGUCGUAUCUGAGUGGAAAAAGAUGUGGAGUUGCUGAGACAAUCAGGAAGUUGGCUUAGAAGCAGCCAUCCUUUAAAGAAAGCGUAACAGCUCACUGAUCUAGCGAUUCUGCGCUGAAAAUAUAACGGGGCUAAGAUACGCACCGAAGCUUUAGAUUCGUAUUUAUACGAGUGGUAGGAGAGCGUUCCAAACAGCGUUGAAGGUAUACCGGUGAGGAGUGCUGGAGCGUUUGGAAGUGAGCAUGCAGGCAUGAGUAGCGAUAAAAGCAGUGAGAAUCUGCUUCGCCGUAAACCCAAGGUUUCCUACGCGAUGCUCGUCAUCGUAGGGUUAGUCGGGACCUAAG
rnacentral:rRNA from 1 species